UACGAAGGGGGGCUAGCGUUGCUCGGAAUCACUGGGCGUAAAGCGCACGUAGGCGGAUUUCUAAGUCAGGGGUGAAAUCCUGGAGCUCAACUCCAGAACUGCCUUUGAUACUGAGAAGCUUGAGUCCGGGAGAGGUGAGUGGAACUGCGAGUGUAGAGGUGAAAUUCGUAGAUAUUCGCAAGAACACCAGUGGCGAAGGCGGCUCACUGGCCCGGUACUGACGCUGAGGUGCGAAAGCGUGGGGAGCAAAGCAGG
rnacentral:rRNA from 1 species